UACGAAGGGGGCUAGCGUUGCUCGGAAUCACUGGGCGUAAAGCGCACGUAGGCGGCUUUGUAAGUUAGAGGUGAAAGCCCGGAGCUCAACUCCGGAAUUGCCUUUAAGACUGCAUCGCUAGAAUUGUGGAGAGGUAAGUGGAAUUCCGAGUGUAGAGGUGAAAUUCGUAGAUAUUCGGAAGAACACCAGUGGCGAAGGCGACUUACUGGACACAUAUUGACGCUGAGGUGCGAAAGCGUGGGGAGCAAACAGG
rnacentral:rRNA from 1 species